UAUCUACGGGAGGCAGCAGUAGGGAAUUUGUCACAAUGGGCGCAAGCCUGAUGGAGCAAUCCCGCGUGGAUGACGAAGGUUGUAACAAAUUGUAAAAUCCUUUUAUUGAGAUCGAAAUGUAAGAAGAGGAAAUGCUUAUAUGAGACUGUUUUCAAUGAAUAAGUAUCGGCUAAAUAUGUGCCAGCAGCCGCGGUAAUACAUAGGAUGCAAGGGUUAUCCGGAUUUUUUGGGCGUAAAGCAAGCGCAGGCGGAUAUGCAAGUUUAGUGUUAAAUACUUAUACCUAACAGGAGUAUUCAUUAAAAACUGCAAGUCUAGAGGGUAGUAAAGGUUUUGGGGAGUCCAGAUGGAGCGGUGAAAUGCCCGGAUAUAUGGAAGAACUCCAGAGGCGAAGCCGAAAAAUUGGACUAUAACUGACGCUUAGGCUCGAAAGUGUGGGGAGCAAAUAGGAUUAGAUACCCUAGUAGUCCACGCUGUAACCCACGGUAAUUAAAUCUUGGUAAGGAAUUUAUCAGGAUUGCAGUUAACGCGCUAAAUUUCUUGCCCGGGUAGUACAUUGGCACGAAAGAACUCAAACAGAAAGGCGGGGGCUCGCCCCACAAGCGGAUCAGGUGUGGGUAUUUAGACGAUAAUAGAAAAACCUUGACCCGCCUCUGUACUGACAUAUGUCUUAAC
rnacentral:rRNA from 1 species